AACGAACGCUGGCGGCAGGCUUAACACAUGCAAGUCGAGCGAAGACUUCGGUCUUAGCGGCGGACGGGUGAGUAACGCGUGGGAACAUACCUUUCUCUACGGAACAGUCCUGGGAAACUGGGUUUAAUACCGUAUACGCCCUUCGGGGGAAAGAUUUAUCGGGGAGAGAUUGGCCCGCGUUGGAUUAGGUAGUUGGUGAGGUAAAGGCUCACCAAGCCGACGAUCCAUAGCUGGUUUGAGAGGAUGAUCAGCCACACUGGGACUGAGACACGGCCCAG
rnacentral:rRNA from 1 species